rnacentral:rRNA from 1 species
UCGCGCUAUUGGAGCGGCCGAUGUCGGAUUAGCUAGUUGGUGAGGUAAAGGCUCACCAAGGCGACGAUCCGUAGCUGGUCUGAGAGGACGACCAGCCACACUGGGACUGAGACACGGCCCAGACUCCUACGGGAGGCAGCAGUGGGGAAUUUUGGACAAUGGGCGAAAGCCUGAUCCAGCCAUGCCGCGUGUGUGAAGAAGGCCUUCGGGUUGUAAAGCACUUUUGUCCGGAACGAAACGCCAACGACGAAUAAUCUUUGGUAAUGACGGUACCGGAAGAAUAAGCACCGGCUAACUACGUGCCAGCAGCCGCGGUAAUACGUAGGGUGCAAGCGUUAAUCGGAAUUACUGGGCGUAAAGCGUGCGCAGGCUGGUUCCGCAAGUCAGAUGUGAAAUCCCCG